GUGAAGUGAUGAACCUGUUUAUCCAUUCUCUGAGUGCUAGCUGGCUCCGGGUUCUGCGCUCUCCCGGGUCCGUUCUGGCCCCGGGCGUACCGUCAGUCGCCCUCUCCUCCGCCCCCGGCGUUCUGCUGGGGUCUGGCGGGGCGGUCGCCUGCCGGGCAGACGAUGGGGCUCGGCGUAACCAAGACGAUUUAAACCUCUGAUCAC
ensembl:snoRNA small nucleolar RNA SNORD17